GAUGAAGAACGCAGCGAAAUGCGGUACGUAAUGUGAAUUGCAGAAUUCAGUGAAUCAUCGAAUCUUUGAACGCACAUUGCGCCUGCCAGCACUCUGGCAGGCAUGCCUGUUCGAGCGUCAUUUCAACCAUCAAGCCCUAGGCUUGCGUUGGAGCCCUGCGGCUGCCGCAGGCCCCUAAAAGCAGUGGCGGGCUCGCUAUCACACCGAGUGCAGUAGAUUACUCUUCGCUCAGGGCGUGUGGCGGGUUCCAGCCGUGAAACCCCCUACUUCUCAAGGUUGACCUCGGAUCAGGUAGGAAUACCCGCUGAACUUAAGCAUAUCAAUAAGCGGAGGA
rnacentral:misc_RNA from 1 species